rnacentral:rRNA from 1 species
CCUACGGGAGGCAGCAGUGGGGAAUCUUGCGCAAUGCGCGAAAGCGUGACGCAGCAACGCCGCGUGGGGGAAGACGGCCUUCGGGUUGUAAACCCCUUUCAGGAGGGACGAAGGUCAGGCCGUUAAUAGCGGUCCUGGCUGACGCUACCUCCAGAAGAAGCCCCGGCUAACUACGUGCCAGCAGCCGCGGUAAUACGUAGGGGGCAAGCGUUGUCCGGAAUUAUUGGGCGUAAAGAGCGCGUAGGCGGUCCGAUAAGUCGGCUGUGAAAGUCAUGGGCUCAACCCAUGAAAGCCGGCCGAUACUGUCGGACUAGAGUCCGGAAGAGGCGAGUGGAAUUCCCGGUGUAGCGGUGAAAUGCGCAGAUAUCGGGAGGAACACCAAUUGCGAAGGCAGCUCGCUGGGACGGUACUGACGCUGAGGCGCGAAGGCGUGGGGAGCAAACAGGAUUAGAUACCCUGGUAGUCCACGCUGUAAACGAUGGGCACUAGGUGUGGGGAGGUGGUCGACUCCUCCGUCGCCGCGACGCUACGCAUAAGUAGCCCGCCGUCGGGAGGUACGGCCGCGACGGACGUAAACGUACGAAAGAAGUAGACGGCGUGAGACGUGCCGACGGACGACGACGAGGGAGGAGG